rnacentral:rRNA from 1 species
UGAACGCUGGCGGCGUGCUUAACACAUGCAAGUCGAACGAUGAAGCUGGAGCUUGCUCCGGCGGAUUAGUGGCGAACGGGUGAGUAACACGUGAGCGAAUCUGCCCUUGACUCUGGGAUAACUGCGGGAAACUGUAGCUAAUACCGGAUACGACGCCUUGGGGCAUCCCACGGGCGUGGAAAGAAUUUCGGUCAAGGAUGAGCUCGCGGACCUAUCAGCUAGUUGGUGAGGUAAUGGCUCACCAAGGCGACGACGGGUAGCCGGCCUGAGAGGGUGACCGGCCACACUGGGACUGAGACACGGCCCAGACUCCUACGGGAGGCAGCAGUGGGGAAUAUUGCGCAAUGGGCGAAAGCCUGACGCAGCAACGCCGCGUGAGGGAUG